UACGGGGGGGGCAAGCGUUGUUCGGAAUUACUGGGCGUAAAGGGCGCGUAGGCGGCCUUCUAAGUCAGACGUGAAAUCCCUCGGCUCAACCGAGGAACUGCGUCUGAUACUGGAAGGCUUGAAUCCGGGAGAGGGAUGUGGAAUUCCAGGUGUAGCGGUGAAAUGCGUAGAUAUCUGGAGGAACACCGGUGGCGAAGGCGGCAUCCUGGACCGGUAUUGACGCUGAGGCGCGAAAGCUAGGGGAGCAAACGGGAUUAGAUACCCCGGUAGUCCUAGCCCUAAACGAUGAGUGCUUGGUGUGGCGGGUAUCGAUCCCUGCCGUGCCGAAGCUAACGCAUUAAGCACUCCGCCUGGGGAGUACGGUCGCAAGGCUGAAACUCAAAG
rnacentral:rRNA from 1 species